rnacentral:lncRNA from 1 species
GACACACUAUGCCCACAGAACUAUUCCAACCCAUGGUCAAUGAAAAGCCCAGCCCUACCUGCAGAACAAAGCUUUGCAGUUUGUACCCAACAGUCAUUGCCAGGGACCCAGAACUGAUAAUCAGGACUUUUAGGCUGGGUGAAUAAAAAAAUGAUGGUUGAAAAUUUAAGAAAGAGUUAUCUUGUUUGUGUUUUUACAUUUUGGAGGAGUUUCCAGAUAAAGACAAGGCUUGGGGGUAUUUCCAAUGACAAAGAGGUGCUUCCGGCUGGAGUUGAACCAGCGACCUUAGGAUCACAGCGUUUCACACAAGGAGCAUCUUACAGACCACUGCUCGGCCAACUGAGCUAUCAAGGUGCUCUCUAGUCACAAGUGCAGAAAACAUAGUGGCUUCGGAGACAAACUAUGCCCACAGAACUAUUCCAACCCAUGGUCAAUGAAAAGCCCAGCCCUACCUGCACAACAAAGCUUUGCAGUUUGUACCCAACAGUCAUUGCCAGGGACCCAGAACUGAUAAUCAGGACUUUUAGGCUGGGUGAAUAAAAAAUUGAUGGUUAAAAAUUUAAGAAAGAGUUAUCUUGUUUGUGUUUUUACAUUUUGGAGGAGUUGACAGAUAAAGACAAGGCUUGGGGGUAUUUCCAAUGACAAGGAGGUGCUUCCGGCUGGAGUUGAACCAGCGACCUUAGGAUCAAAGCGUUUCACACAAGGAGCAUCUUACAGUCCACCGCUCUACAAACUGAGCUAUCAAGGUGCUCUCUAGUCACAAGUGCGGAAAACAUAGUGGCUUCGAAGGCACACUAUGCCCACAGAACUAUUCCAACCCAUGGUCAAUGAAAAGCCCAGCCCUACCAGCAGAACAAAGCUUUGCAGUUUGUACCCAACAGUCAUUGCCAGGGACCCAGAACUGAUAAUCAGGACUUUUAGGCUGGGUGAAUAAAAAAUUGAUGGUUGAAAAUUUAAGAAAGAGUUAUCUUGUUUGUGUUUUUACAUUUUGGAGGAGUUGACAGAUAAAGACAAGGCUUGGGGGUAUUUCCAAUGACAAGGAGGUGCUUCUGGCUGGAGUUGAACCAGCGACCUUAGGAUCACAGCGUUUCACACAAGGAGCAUCUUACAGUCCACUGCUCGACCAACUGAGCUAUCAAGGUGCUCUCUAGUCACAAGUGCAGAAAACAUAGUGGCUUCGGAGACAAACUAUGCCCACAGAACUAUUCCAACCCAUGGUCAAUGAAAAGCCCAGCCCUACCUGCACAACAAAGCUUUGCAGUUUGUACCCAACAGUCAUUGCCAGGGACCCAGAACUGAUAAUCAGGACUUUUAGGCUGGGUGAAUAAAAAAUUGAUGGUUAAAAAUUUAAGAAAGAGUUAUCUUGUUUGUGUUUUUACAUUUUGGAGGAGUUGACAGAUAAAGACAAGGCUUGGGGGUAUUUCCAAUGACAAGGAGGUGCUUCCGGCUGGAGUUGAACCAGCGACCUUAGUAUCACAGCGUUUCACACAAGGAGCAUCUUACAGUCCACUGCUCUACAAACUGAGCUAUCAAGGUGCUCUCUAGUCACAAGUGCGGAAAACAUAGUGGCUUCGAAGGCACACUAUGCCCACAGAACUAUUCCAACCCAUGGUCAAUGAAAAGCCCAGCCCUACCAGCAGAACAAAGCUUUGCAGUUUGUACCCAACAGUCAUUGCCAGGGACCCAGAACUGAUAAUCAGGACUUUUAGGCUGGGUGAAUAAAAAAUUGAUGGUUGAAAAUUUAAGAAAGAGUUAUCUUGUUUGUGUUUUUACAUUUUGGAGGAGUUGACAGAUAAAGACAAGGCUUGGGGGUAUUUCCAAUGACAAGGAGGUGCUUCCGGCUGGAGUUGAACCAGCGACCUUAGGAUCACAGCGUUUCACACAAGGAGCAUCUUACAGUCCCAGGCUCUGCCAACUGAGCUAUCAAGGUGCUCUCUAGUCACAAGUGCAGAAAACAUAGUGGCUUCGAAGACACACUAUGCCCACAGAACUAUUCCAACCCAUGGUCAAUGAAAAGCCCAGCCCUACCUGCAGAACAAAGCUUUGCAGUUUGUACCCAACAGUCAUUGCCAGGGACCCAGAACUGAUAAUCAGGACUUUUAGGCUGGGUGAAUAAAAAAUUGAUGGUUGAAAAUUUAAGAAAGAGUUAUCUUGUUUGUGUUUUUACAUUUUGGAGGAGUUGCCAGAUAAAGACAAGGCGUGGGGGUAUUUCCAAUGACAAGGAGGUGCUUCCGGCUGGAGUUGAACCAGCGACCUUAGGAUCACAGCGUUUCACACAAGGAGCAUCUUACAGUUCACCGCUCUACCAACUGAGCUAUCAAGGUGCUCUCUAGUCACAAGUGCAGAAAACAUAGUGGCUUCGAAGACACACUAUGCCCACAGAACUAUUCCAACCCAUGGUCAAUGAAAAGCCCAGCCCUACCUGCAGAACAAAGCUUUGCAGUUUGUACCCAACAGUCAUUGCCAGGGACCCAGAACUGAUAAUCAGGACUUUUAGGCUGGGUGAAUAAAAAAAUGAUGGUUGAAAAUUUAAGAAAGAGUUAUCUUGUUUGUGUUUUUACAUUUUGGAGAAGUUUACAGAUAAAGACAAGGCUUGGGGGUAUUUCCAAUGACAAAGAGGUGCUUCCGGCUGGAGUUCAACCAGCGACCUUAGGAUCACAGCGUUUCACACAAGGAGCAUCUUACAGUCCAAUGCUCGACCAACUGAGCUAUCAAGGUGCUCUCUAGUCACAAGUGCAGAAAACAUAGUGGCUUCGGAGACACACUAUGCCCACAGAACUAUUCCAACCCAUGGUCAAUGAAAAGCCCAGCCCUACCUGCAGAACAAAGCUUUGCAGUUUGUACCCAACAGUCAUUGCCAGGGACCCAGAACUGAUAAUCAGGACUUUUAGGCUGGGUGAAUAAAAAAUUGAUGGUUAAAAAUUUAAGAAAGAGUUAUCUUGUUUGUGUUUUUACAUUUUGGAGGAGUUGCCAGAUAAAGACAAGGCUUGGGGGUAUUUCCAAUGACAAGGAGGUGCUUCCAGGUGGAGUUGAACCAGCGACCUUAGGAUCACAGCGUUUCACACAAGGAGCAUCUUACAGUCCACCGCUCUACCAACUGAGCUAUCAAGGUGCUCUCUAGUCACAAGUGCAGAAAACAUAGUGGCUUCGAAGACACACUAUGCCCACAGAACUAUUCCAACCCAUGGUCAAUGAAAAGCCCAGCCCUACCUGACGAACAAAGCUUUGCAGUUUGUACCCAACAGUCAUUGCCAGGGACCCAGAACUGAUAAUCAGGACUUUUAGGCUGGGUGAAUAAAAAAUUGAUGGUUGAAAAUUUAAGAAAGAGUUACCUUGUUUGGGUUUUUACAUUUUGGAGGAGUUGACAGAUAAAGAGAAGGUUUUGGGGUAUUUCCAAUGACGAGGAGGUGCUUCCGGCUGGAGUUGAACCAGCCACCUUAGGAUCACAGCGUUUCACACAAGGAGCAUCUUACAGUCCACCGCUCUGCCAACUGAGCUAUCAAGGUGCUCUCUAGUCACAAGUGCAGAAAACAUAGUGGCUUCGAAGACACACUAUGCCCACAGAACUAUUCCAACCCAUGGUCAAUGAAAAGCCCAGCACUACCUGACGAACAAAGCUUUGCAGUUUGUACCCAACAGUCAUUGCCAGGGACCCAGAACUGAUAAUCAGGACUUUUAGGCUGGGUGAAUAAAAAAUUGAUGGUUGAAAAUUUAAGAAAGAGUUAUCUUGUUUGUGUUUUUACAUUUUGGAGGAGUUGACAGAUAAAGACAAGGCUUGGGGGUAUUUCCAAUGACAAGGAGGUGCUUCCGGCUGGAGUUGAACCAGCGACCUUAGGAUCACAGCGUUUCACACAAGGAGCAUCUUACAGUGCACCGCUCUAGCAACUGAGCUAUCAAGGUGCUCUCUAGUCACAAGUGCAGAAAACAUAGUGGCUUCGAAGACACACUAUGCCCACAGAACUAUUCCAAACUAUGGUCAAUGAAAAGCCCAGCCCUACCUGCAGAACAAAGCUUUGCAGUUUGUACCCAACAGUCAUUGCCAGGGACCCAGAACUGAUAAUCAGGACUUUUAGGCUGGGUGAAUAAAAAAUUGAUGGUUGAAAAUUUAAGAAAGAGUUACCUUGUUUGUGUUUUUACAAUUUGGAGGAGUUGACAGAUAAAGACAAGGAUUGGGGGUAUUUCCAAUGACAAGGAGGUGCUUCCGUCUGGAGUUGAACCAGUGACCUUAGGAUCACAGCGUUUCACACAAGGAGCAUCUUACAGUCCACCGCUCUACCAACUGAGCUAUCAAGGUGCUCUCUAGUCACAAGUGCAGAAAACAUAGUGGCUUCGAAGACACACUAUGCCCACAGAACUAUUCCAACCCAUGGUCAAUGAAAAGCCCAGCCCUACCUGACGAACAAAGCUUUGCAGUUUGUACCCAACAGUCAUUGCCAGGGACCCAGAACUGAUAAUCAGGACUUUUAGGCUGGGUGAAUAAAAAAUUGAUGGUUGAAAAUUUAAGAAAGAGUUAUCUUGUUUGUGUUUUUACAUUUUGGAGGAGUUGACAGAUAAAGACAAGGCUUGGGGGUAUUUCCAAUGACAAGGAGGUGCUUCCGGCUGGAGUUGAACCAGCGACCUUAGGAUCACAGCGUUUCACACAAGGAGCAUCUUACAGUCCACCGCUCUACCAAGUGAGCUAUCAAGGUGCUCUCCAGUCACAAGUGCAGAAAACAUAGUGGCUUCGAAGACACACUAUGCCCACAGAACUAUUCCAACCCAUGGUCAAUGAAAAGCCCAGCCCUACCUGCAGAACAAAGCUUUGCAGUUUGUACCCAACAGUCAUUGCCAGGGACCCAGAACUGAUAAUCAGGACUUUUAGGCUGGGUGAAUAAAAAAUUGAUGGUUGAAAAUUUAAGAAAGAGUUAUCUUGUUUGUGUUUUUACAUUUUGGAGGAGUUGACAGACAAAGACAAGGCUUGGGGGUAUUUCCAAUGACAAGGAGGUGCUUCCGGCUGGAGUUGAACCAGCGACCUUAGGAUCAAAGCGUUUCACACAAGGAGCAUCUUACAGUCCACCGCUCUACAAACUGAGCUAUCAAGGUGCUCUCUAGUCACAAGUGCAGAAAACAUAGUGGCUUCGAAGACAAACUAUGCCCACAGAACUAUUCCAACCCAUGGUCAAUGAAAAGCCCAGCCCUACCUGCAGAACAAAGCUUUGCAGUUUGUACCCAACAGUCAUUGCCAGGGACCCAGAGCUGAUAAUCAGGACUUUUAGGCUGGGUGAAUAAAAAAUUGAUGGUUGAAAAUUUAAGAAAGAGUUAUCUUGUUUGUGUUUUUACAUUUUGGAGGAGUUGCCAGAUAAAGACAAGGCUUGGGGGUAUUUGCAAUGACGAGGAGGUGCUUCCGGCUGGAGUUGAACCAGCGACCUUAGGAUCACAGCGUUUCACACAAGGAGCAUCUUACAGUCCACCGCUCUACCAAGUGAGCUAUCAAGGUGCUCUCUAGUCACAAGUGCAGAAAACAUAGUGGCUUCGAAGACACACUAUGCCCACAGAACUAUUCCAACCCAUGGUCAAUGAAAAGCCCAGCCCUACCUGCAGAACAAAGCUUUGCAGUUUGUACCCAACAGUCAUUGCCAGGGACCCAGAACUGAUAAUCAGGACUUUUAGGCUGGGUGAAUAAAAAAUUGAUGGUUGAAAAUUUAAGAAAGAGUUAUCUUGUUUGUGUUUUUACAUUUUGGAGGAGUUGCCAGAUAAAGACAAGGCUUGGGGGUAUUUCCAAUGACAAGGAGGUGCUUCCGGCUGGAGUUGAACCAGCGACCUUAGGAUCAAAGCGUUUCACACAAGGAGCAUCUUACAGUCCACCGCUCUACAAACCGAGCUAUCAAGGUGCUCUCUAGUCACAAGUGCAGAAAACAUAGUGGCUUCGAAGACAAACUAUGCCCACAGAACUAUUCCAACCCAUGGUCAAUGAAAAGCCCAGCCCUACCUGCAGAACAAAGCUUUGCAGUUUGUACCCAACAGUCAUUGCCAGGGACCCAGAGCUGAUAAUCAGGACUUUUAGGCUGGGUGAAUAAAAAAUUGAUGGUUGAAAAUUUAAGAAAGAGUUAUCUUGUUUGUGUUUUUACAUUUUGGAGGAGUUGCCAGAUAAAGACAAGGCUUGGGGGUAUUUCCAAUGACAAGGAGGUGCUUCCGGCUGGAGUUGAACCAGCGACCUUAGGAUCACAGCGUUUCACACAAGGAGCAUCUUACAGUCCACCGCUCUACCAAGUGAGCUAUCAAGGUGCUCUCCAGUCACAAGUGCAGAAAACAUAGUGGCUUCGAAGACACACUAUGCCCACAGAACUAUUCCAACCCAUGGUCAAUGAAAAGCCCAGCCC